GUAAGCUGUGACUCCCUGUAUUUGCUUGUCUUCCUUUCCAAACUUGGGGGCAGUGUUUUGCUCUGUGUCCUCCCCUCUUUUAUGGUUCCAUGAGUAGUUGUUGAUUUUUGAGGCUGUUCAGCUUUUGUUUGUUAUUAGGAUAGAGUGGUGAUUCCAAGAGUCUUACAUGUGGAACAAGAAACUGGAAGUCCUGGUGUUGUAUUUCAAAAUCAGUGUCCAAAUUUUCAUUGCUAGUGACAAGAGAUUUUCACAUACUGAGCAUUUAGAGCAGUGGUUCUCAACCAAGGGGGAGUCUCUUUCCCAGGAGACAUUUGGCAAUGUCUGGAGAUAAUUUUUGCUGUUAUUUUGGGAAGGGGCCACGCUACUGUCAUCUGGGGACCUGAAAGAUGAUGACUGCCUCUCCUCGUGGUUGCCAAAUGACUGUAGAACUUCCCAACAUCGCCUCACAGCAAUCUUCACAAGAAAAUCUUUUCAGAAGACUCAAAAAUCAACUUCCCUUCUAAUUUUAUUGGCCGGAAUUAGGUCACAUGUCCACCCCUAAGCCACUCAGCGGCCAAGAAGAAUGUCAUCUUGGACUGGCCUGGCUGAUCAGGGUCUCUUUAGAGGUGGAAUCUGAAGUCACCCACCUCUAAGUCAUGUGGCAAAUAAAUAAAUUCCUGAAAAAAAAUGUAUUUCUUUUAGCAAAAUAGAAAGGUUGAAGGUCCUCACAUGUAGGCAACAAAAGUUUCUGCCAAACUAUGUAUCUUGCAAAUCGUUCUUACUGGACAAAUCAUAUAAAGGAGCUUAGAGACCAUUAUUUGUACAUUAUAAACCAAUGCUAGAAAUCUUCAUUUGCAUCCUGAUUUUUGAAUUUUAGAAUACUACCUUUAUUCUCACUGCUUAGGUGAUAUUAUGAGGUUAAUAUGAUCCAGAUUUUUCAUAAAAGUUUUUGAAAAUAUGGAAUGUGAUUGAAGAGUGUAGAAAUAACUUUAAAGCCUUUACAUAUAGAAAGGAAAACUAUUUGUCAUUUAAAAAAUCACCAUUGAACCAUUUCUUCCCAUUUUGAUGGACUUUAAUAUCUUUUAUUGUGAAAUAUUUUUAAAGAGUUUCAAGGCUCUUUUAUGAUUAGGUUUUAGAAAUAUAGUGUUUAUUUUUUUAGAAAUGGGUUUUUGGAAUGAGGUUACUCUUUGAUAGUCUGAUUCAUCUCUGGGCCUUGCUCGGCUGCAUAACUCAGUCCCGUCAUAGUGAUGGUCCUU
rnacentral:lncRNA from 1 species